GUGAGUGCUGGCAGGGUCCUGAGUGCUGGCAGGGUCCUGAGUGGUAGCAGGGUCCUGAGUGCUAGCAGGUCCUGAGUGCUGGCAGGGUCCUGAGUGGUAGCAGGGUCCUGAGUGCUAGCAGGUCCUGAGUUCUAACAGGUCCUGAGUGCUAGCAGGGUCCUGAGUGUUAGCAGGGGUGCGACUGGACGCCAUAGUGGUGGCGUAGUCUUGACACUCUUCAUCUUCUAGUGUGUGGUUUGGUCAACACACUUCUGCUGCAUUAUUACCUCCCGUGUAGUAUAAGAAGAAUAAAGGUAACUGCAGAAAGCCUAUUGGCUCAUACGAGGCAGCGCCCAUUUAUAACCACACAAUUCUACUCAUUACAUGUCCAACCCACGUUUGAAACAAUCAAGAGACUCCACCUCCACCACGUUACGCGGUAAUUGGCUCCACAAAUCAACAACCCUGUUACCGAAUUAGUAUUUACCCAAGUCUUUCCUGAAUCUAAACUUAUGGUGUAGGCUACGGUGGCGAGGAGUGAUGGUGGCUGUUGGCCCCGUCUGCUGCCUCCUGCUGCUACUGCUCCAGGAUGUCGCCACCGCAGCAGGAGCCGGCACCACCAACGUUAUGGAGGAAGGCGAGUCAAAAUGGAAGGUGUGGACAACACUGAGAGUGCAUUUGGAGGAGUCUUUAGACAACAUGGGCGCCUUGAACGCGAGCCUGACUUUGGCCACCGUGAGCCCUGCCAAACAUUCCUGUACGUUCACCCUUAAUUUAAGCCUCCAUUGUACGAAGAAUUCUACAGACUGUUUCGUCACCUUUGUUACUCGUUACAGCUCCAUCUGCACCACUACACCUGCUUCACACUCCACUCCUCCACACCACACCACCAGCCCUCCACACCACACCACCACGAACCCUCCACACCACACCACCAGCCCUACACACCACACCACCAGCCCUACACA